rnacentral:rRNA from 1 species
UGCGAAGCUGAUGGUUCACGCCGCGUGCAGGAUGAAUGCCUUCGGGUUGUAAACUGCUUUUAUAUGUGACGAUUAUGACGGUAGCAUAUGAAUAAGGAUCGGCUAACUCCGUGCCAGCAGCCGCGGUCAUACGGAGGAUCCAAGCGUUAUCCGGAAUUACUGGGCGUAAAGAGUUGCGUAGGUGGCAUAGUAAGCGAGUAGUGAAAGCGUGUGGCUCAACCAUACAUCCAUUACUUGAACUGCUAAGCUAGAGGAUGAGAGAGGUUAUUGGAAUUCCCAGUGUAGGAGUGAAAUCCGUAGAUAUUGGGAGGAACACCGAUGGCGUAGGCAGAUAACUGGCUCAUUCCUGACACUAAGGCACGAAAGCGUGGGGAGCAAACGGGAUUAGAUACCCCGGUAGUCCACGCCGUAAACUAUGGAUGCUAGCUGUUAGAGGUAUCGACCCCUCUAGUAGCGAAGCUAACGCGUUAAGCAUCCCGCCUGUGGAGUACGGUCGCAAGACUAAAACAUAAAGGAAUUGACGGGGACCCGCACAAGCGGUGGAGCGUGUUGUUUAAUUCGAUGGUAAGCGAAGAACCUUACCCAAGCUUGACAUCUUGGAAGCCUGUGAAACAGAGUGUGCCUUCG